UUUGCUUCUAUAUUUAAACAUAGUCUCACCGCAAGCCUUUUACAACCUCAGGGAGACAGAAACCUUCUGUAGUGAGGCAGCUGGAACUCCAUGGAUCUUAUACAACUUCUCGGAACAACCAGACAACAAAGUUUAACACCGGCAGUAAGCAAGCGACCAGUAGUCCUGGGGUUCCGUCAUCACAACGGGAAUCGUUUGACAACCGACACAUCCGCCAGAUGCUCCACCAGCUCGCGCAGUCUUCCGGUAAGGGGGAUCUGCCAAAACCUCAGACUCCUGCGAGGGAGGCUGUUGUUGUUGACAUCGACAGUGCCAAAGACGGCGAAGGGCCGAAGCAGUUUCUACAGGACCCACACUCGAUGCAAACCGACGGUAACCCAACGGUAACCCAUAAGGAUCUCAGUAAACCUGCUGUCCAGCCCGGUCCUUCGGUAAAGGAGCAAGCAAACCCUUCAGCUAGUGACGAAGAAAGAGCGGAGUCCUCGGAAACCCUGCUCCAAGCGUUCUUUGGGAUGUCCUCCAUUGAUAAAAUGAUUAUCAGGUUACAAGAAAUCGAGGAAGAGCAAAUGAAAAUCCGUCACACCUGGUCGAAGCAUGUUUACCCAGCCACGUCAUUACAAAAGCCCCCAGCAUCAGCAAAUGGGGUUCAAGUUGGAACUGAGGCUCAAAGUAGGAAACAAUCCCCAGGAUGUCAGCAAAGUCUCACAUCUCCGAAAGCCAUCAUCUUCACCAAAGAAGAGACGAAGUCGACAGACCAGUCUAACCCAGCGUCUUCACACCUCUGUUCUGCGGCCAACAUGAUGCCAGCAGCGAUGCCGACAUCAUCACAGAGCCGUCUCUUUCUGCAGAAACACACCUUGGAUGCCGUGAAGAAGAACCGUGCUGCCUACCUGUUGUACCUGAAGAAUUCAGCGUAUUACCAGGCGGAAAACUUUGAUCCCUGGGAACUCACCGAGAAAAUCGCCGACGCCGUUACCUCGGACUGCGUCACGGACGUCCUCGGAGAAUUCCAGCAACUCAGCGACGACGUCAUCCAACAGAUAUACGAAGACGAAUUCGCUUGUGGAGCACGCUCCGAACUCUGAACUCUAAAACCUGUGUGAUCCUCUUCGCAGUCCCAGUGGCCUGUGCAUGUUUUUGUUUGGCUCUUUGAACUCAUUGUUGUUGUUGUUGUUAUAUUCGAGGUCAGCUCUGACCCCCCCCCCACAAAGGCCUAUGAUCAAAAUUGUUCCUCCCGUGACCACCCUGUCUUGUUUUCAUGCAUAGUGCAUCUAGGACUACAUUAUCCUAUGCGCCCUUUCUUGUUUCACCCCAGGCCAGGCCUGACCCAGUAAAUCUAUGAUCAAAGAUGUUCCAGAUGUGACCAUCCUGUCUUUUAUUCAGGCAUAGUGCAUCUAGGACUACAUUAUCCUAUGCGCCCUUUCUUGUUUCACCCCAGGCCAGGCCUGACCCAGUAAAUCUAUGAUCAAAGAUGUUCCAGAUGUGACCAUCCUGUCUUUUAUUCAGGCAUAGUGUAUCUAGGACUACAUUAUCUAAUGUGCCUGUACUUGUUGUUGUUGUUUAA
rnacentral:misc_RNA from 1 species